AGAAGCCCCGGGCUCAUCAGUCAAACCGGUUCUCUGUUUGCACUCGGCAGCACGGGCAGGCAAGUGGUCCCUAGCUUCGGGAGCAGAGCAGCAGCGCCUCAGUCCUGGUCCCCCAGUCCCAAGCCUCACCUGCCUGCCCAGCGCCAGGAUGGCCACCAUCACCUGCACCCGCUUCACGGAAGAGUACCAGCUCUUCGAGGAAUUGGGCAAGGGAGCCUUCUCGGUGGUUCGAAGGUGUGUGAAGGUGCUGGCCGGCCAGGAGUAUGCUGCCAAGAUCAUCAACACAAAGAAGCUGUCAGCCAGAGUCCGACUACAUGACAGCAUCUCAGAGGAGGGACACCACUACCUGAUCUUCGACCUGGUCACUGGUGGGGAACUGUUUGAAGAUAUCGUGGCCCGGGAGUAUUACAGUGAGGCGGAUGCCAGUCACUGUAUCCAGCAGAUCCUGGAGGCUGUGCUGCACUGCCACCAGAUGGGGGUGGUGCACCGGGACCUGAAGCCUGAGAAUCUGUUGCUGGCCUCCAAGCUCAAGGGUGCCGCAGUGAAGCUGGCAGACUUUGGCCUGGCCAUAGAGGUGGAGGGGGAGCAGCAGGCAUGGUUUGGGUUUGCAGGGACUCCUGGAUACCUCUCCCCAGAAGUGCUGCGGAAGGACCCGUACGGAAAGCCUGUGGACCUGUGGGCUUGUGGGGUCAUCCUGUACAUCCUGCUGGUUGGGUACCCCCCGUUCUGGGAUGAGGACCAGCACCGCCUGUACCAGCAGAUCAAAGCCGGCGCCUAUGAUUUCCCAUCGCCGGAAUGGGACACCGUCACCCCGGAAGCCAAGGAUCUGAUCAAUAAGAUGCUGACCAUUAACCCAUCCAAACGCAUCACAGCUGCCGAAGCCCUUAAGCACCCCUGGAUCUCGCACCGCUCCACCGUGGCGUCCUGCAUGCACAGACAGGAGACUGUGGACUGCCUGAAGAAGUUCAACGCCAGGAGGAAACUGAAGGGAGCCAUUCUCACCACGAUGCUGGCCACCAGGAACUUCUCCGGAGGGAAGAGUGGGGGAAACAAGAAGAGCGAUGGUGUGAAGAAAAGAAAGUCCAGUUCCAGCGUUCAGUUAAUGGAAUCCUCAGAGAGCACCAACACCACCAUCGAGGAUGAAGACACCAAAGGUAGGGAGGGGCCUUCAGUGUCGGGACCCCUUAGACUUCUGGAACCAGCUCUGGGCAGACCCCUUUUUCCUGACAGCUCCCACGUGCCAGCCUCGUUUCUUGCUUGUCUACAGAGAGCUUCGCUCUGGUGCCUUAUAAACUGGGCACAUUGGGAGGCAUCAUUCCCAUGGGGGGUACUAGAACUACUGCUGGUGCGUAGAUAGGUUUUCUUAUUUUAUUUAUUUUUAUUUUAUUUUUUUGAGAUGGUGUCUUGCUCUGUCACCCAGGCUGGAGUGCAGUGGCACCAUCUCGGCUCACUGCAACCUCUGCCUCCCAGGUUCAAGCGAUCCUCCUGCCUCAGCCUCCCAAGUAGCUGGGAUGACAGACACCUGCCACCACACCCAGCUAAUUUUUUGUAUUUUU
rnacentral:sRNA from 1 species